UUUGCGAACUUCGAUUUUCGCGGUUAUAGCCCAGUUUAGGCGGCCGGGAAGUAAUAAUUAAAGUAUUAUUUUAAUCUUUUACCUUCUAGUUUGCGUUUUUGUCCUGAGACUCCUCCAGCAGAAACUACUGUAACAUAACAUUAUUAAAUUAUGUACUUGCCUUUAUUCAGUUUAAGAAUAAAAAGCGGCAAAGUGCGAGUCAGACUCGCCCAUGAAGGGUUCCGUACCAGCGAGUAACAUAAUAAAAUUGCGGUUUACGAUUUAUGACGUAUUAAAAAAAAAUACUUACCAGGCCUCGCUCAAACCAAUUUUCGGUGGAAGUUUGCAUGGUAAUGUACAUCAUUUUUUUUUAGAUUUAUCAUUCACUUAUUUUAAAAGUUACAGGGGGGGACGACACACAUUUUACCACUUUGUAAGUGUCUCUCGCGCAAACUAUUCAGUUUAUAAAAAAAUGAUAUUAGAAACCUCAAUAUCAUUUUUGAAGACCUAUCCAUAGACACCCCACCCGUAUGGGUAUGAUGAAAGAAAAAUUUUUUUUACGAUUUAUGACGUAUAAAAAAAAAAACUACUAACUAGAUCUCGUUCAAACCAAUUUUCGGUGGAAGUUUGCAUGGUUAUGUAAUGUUUUGUGUGAAAAUCUUAAUGUGGUUCACAGAAUACAUCUACUUACCAAGUUUCAACUGUAUAGUUCUUAUAGUUUCGGAAAAAAGUGGCUGUGACAUAUGGACACAGACGGACAGACAUGACGAACCUAUAAGGGUUCCGUUUUUUGCCAUUUGGCUACGGAACCCUAAAAAAAGGUAGCAAAUUAUGAAUACUAAUAAAAUUUUAAUACCUAUUUCUGAAUGAUGUGGUGCCAUUUUAUCAGAAAUCUCGUAAGUUGAGGUCGAUGGCACACUGUUUGGGCCAUAACCCUUAUUUCGUUUUGAAUUUG